GCUUUGAAGUCACUCCAUUUAUCUAUAAAUUCAUUUAGCUGAAGAUUAAAGCAGACAUUGUGAUAUAUGAAAACAGUUUUGGAGUUUCAGUUUAAAUUCUCAACUGGCAAUUGGCCGAAAACUCCCAUCAGAAGACGUGAGCAUCCAAAUGUCAUUUUGUGAUUUGGCUACUGUCUGCUUGAAUAGGAAGGCCCUAUCAAGAAAAACUAAUGGCGUGAUUAACUAUCAAAAGAAAGUCAAUGGAAAAUCUUUAACUUCCACCACAAGAAGAUUAAAAAGAGGUCCCUCCUGCACCAAGAAAGAUCUGCAGAUCUUUUUCAGUGUUCUUGGAGGUGUGGGGUGUGAGAACUUGAUCAGUUUGUGCAACCACCUUGUUCUCUAAAGGAGUGAAAACCCAACCCAACAUUAUUGACACUAAGGAAUUCUUCUACUGGAAUUGGAACUAGAAUUUGGGAGAUUUUAUUUGCACAUUUCAAGUCCUCAAUAGCCACAUGUAGCUAGUAGCUACUGUAUGAGGCAGUGCGGAUCUACACCAAGAAUGGAUCUUCCGUUUUAGCAUCAUCCAUGAUGAAUUCCAUUGGGUAACUCCGAAAGCUCCCCUGGUUUAGAGUUUCCGGA